rnacentral:rRNA from 1 species
UACGUAGGUGGCAAGCGUUGUCCGGAAUUAUUGGGCGUAAAGCGCGCGCAGGCGGUCCUUUAAGUCUGAUGUGAAAGCCCACGGCUCAACCGUGGAGGGUCAUUGGAAACUGGGGGACUUGAGUACAGAAGAGAAGAGUGGAAUUCCACGUGUAGCGGUGAAAUUCGUAGAUAUUGGGAAGAACACCGGUGGCGAAGGCGGCGCUCUGGACCGAGACUGACGCUGAGGCGCGAAAGCGUGGGGAGCAAACAGG